CGGCGCCCCAUCCAGGGACCAUGCUCGCUCUCAAAAGAUCAGCGACCGGCCUAGCUAGCUCAUACACGUACACAUGCACGGUCUAGCUACCUUUCCUCCGAUCCGGUCUUCGGAGAUCGGAGAUCAUAUGUAUGUACCGGUACCGUAUAUUAUAUGCGAUCGAUCUCGCACUAAGAACAUCUGACUCGAGUGUGACGCUCUUGCGAGAAUUAAAACGUAUAGAGCUCUGCACUGCACCUGAUAUUGUUGGCAGGAAGAAGGUUGAUGAGAAGUCCAGAUGGGUUCCGAGAGAAUUCGGGAUGUUAUUAUUGUUGGAGCAGGGAUCAGUGGUUUAUCAGCCGCCAAGGUCUUACAUGAAUCUGGCCAAGAUGUACUGGUACUAGAAGCCAAUGAUCGAGUUGGAGGACGGACAUGCAAUUUCUAUGUAAGUCAAUAGUAAUGAUUUGCUUAGUGAGGAAAUGUUGAUUGUAGGGGCAUUCAAACAACGUGUUUCAAAGAGGUACAAAUAAAGAAGAACUUUCUUCAAAUCUGCACAGAUGUAAAAAUGUUCAACAAUUAUUUGAUAUAGCAGAUUAAAAAUUGAUGAUAGUUCCUCUUUGAAAGGUGUACGUAAAUGAUGUUCAGUGGUGUGAGAGUUCAGAAGCUAAUUUCACUUUUCUUCAGCUUAAUUUUAGCUUUUUUUUUAACACCUCAGCUUUUUUCAGCUACUAGUAUUAGUGAAUAUUCACAUUCUACAGGCACUUACAUGUACAUGUACCUGUAGUAUCAAUGACAUUGAUUCUAACUAAAGUUGAUACUGCAAUGGCAUAACCUCCAACUGGCAAGAUUGUAUCAGAUAGACCUAUAUAGUAUUUUUGUUCAAAAUAGGGAUGAAAAGUAUACUUUUGACCUGUGUUUGCAUAAAAGAUUUUGUUUUUUUGUUUCAGUAUAAAGAUCUUUCAUUGAAAAAAGUUGGCAGGUAUGCAGAUUUUAAUGUUUAUUUUAUUGGAGAUUACUUCGAUAUUAAAAACUUCUUUGGAAAAUUAAAGAAAAGUAUUCUAUUUUUAUGAUUAUGUUUGUGGGAUUUAUCAUUGAAUCAAUCUGAACCCAUUGUAAUUCCAUAAGUAAAAUCAAAAUUAAAAAUUUUCAUGAAUAAUUGAAAUUUGAAAGUGUACAUGUAUACACAUGUAAACAAUCUGACUGUUUUGUUUUGAUGGCUUGUAAUUUUUUGUAAACUAAUGAAGGGCAUUGUACAUUAAGGACUUUUCUUAAAACUUAAGUUUUUGAUCUCAUAUUCAGGUCAAGUUUAAAAUUCAUACAGAAAUUGUAAUUGCAUCUGUAGGGAUCUUCUGCAU